rnacentral:rRNA from 1 species
AUGGUCAAGUGAAUAAGAGCAUAAGGCGGAUGCCUUGGCACUGGGAGCCGAUGAAGGACGUGACAA